GAGGGCAGGGCUUUGCUGGGUAGCUACACUGGCACAACUGAUGGGCAGCCUGCCUGGGCUACUGCGAACUGAGAGUGGGAGUCAAUUGCUAAUUUGUCUCCUGAGAAACAACUGAUCUCUGAUACUACAGUACAGAAAAAAAAACCUACGGGAGAUACAGCCCAUAUGGUGCGCUCAGUUGGUGCAGUCUACUAUGGGAAAUGUAUGCUAAGCUUCCUGUUCAGAUUGCAUAUUAAGGAGUUUAGCUACCAAAGCUGCAACUGACAUUCCUAGUAAUAAAACCAGUGAGGAGGUUGACUCAAAGAACCUAAACUAAGCUCUUGCUCUGAAUUGCCUUCUGGAGGAGUCUGUAUCUCUCCACUGGCUUUAAAGCAAGCCAAUGGGACUAGAAGGAUGAGUUUCAGACACAGCAAUGAAGAAAGGACACAUGCAAAGAAGAAAGAAUGAGAGACUUUAGAAAGUGUCUCUCAUGAUGAAUAUUUUCAAAACAAACUCAUCUUUUUGGGUACCUCAGUGUCUCAGUGCUUCCUUUUCAUUUUUCUUGAAAGCACCCAGUUUUCAGAGAGCACCUGUGUUCCCAGUACGGUGUCUGAAUGAUGUGUCAAUGCCAAUGGUGCAUCUGCCAUCGCUAGUUACUUUGGAUAGUUUAGGCCUGAAGUGUUUACGCUUCAACAGAAUAUCCAUCUCUUUGUAAGAGCUGGAGAAAGGUAUGAAUCUGAAUAGAUUUUAUUGUUAUCUGAAUGGCUUCCCCCUCCUCAUUAUCACCCUUUCCCCCAGUGUGAGAUUGAAGCUCUGAUGUGGUAAUAUCCAUCCACAUAGAAAUGAAACCUUAAUGUAUUUUAAGAGGAGGUGACUUUUAAUUAUUUGAUGAGGGUACAGUAUUCUGAAUAGGUCUCGAAAGUUUAAAGUCACACGUGGUGUAUUUUUUUCUUUCCAAGGCCUGUACAGCUGGACUCUUGAUGCUACCAGAUAGCUUUACAUUAUGGACAGAAAACAGAAAAAUAGCACCACUUAAUUUUCUAACAGCUCUAAAGUAUUUAUAAACAUCUUUUUUUCCCUUAAAUAUUGAUGGUGUGCCUGCAAUACAAGUUGGUGUUGGUUUGUAUGGCCUGGCAAAUCUAUAAUAAAUCAUUUGAAUGUCAAACAGGAGAAAUUAAAAAAUAUAUGGCUUUUUUUUUAGAGGUGGAUAUAGUAGUCAAAGCAUUUGUCUCCUACUGAAUGUUAAAUGAGUGACAGUAGCUAAAAACACAACCCCUGUUGUCAUAAUGGUCAUCUAGAAACUUGUACUAUCAUAGCAGAUACUGAAGAGUUGGUCUGAUAGGGAUAUAUUCCUCCUGCUGCUUUGAUUUUACUAGAGAAAUACAGACUUUGGAUAUACUGUAUUGUUGCUGUCUUCUAAUUUCAGCCUGUAGCAGCAUCCUCUGUGUGUGUAUAAAUAUUGUUAUCUAGGAUAGAUGUUAAGUAUGCAUUAAUAUUUGUUAAUUCAUACAGUAUUGUACAGUUGUGGUAUUAUGUCUUGCAAUUAGUUGGGCCAUGUUUCAACUCUAAAUCAUUUUCCAAACAAAAAAAUAAUUGAGGGUACUUUAGUUGGAAGUGGAUGAUCAGACUCUUCAAUUAAUUAGCAAAAAAUCAAAGAGAUGGUGGAACAUGUGUUGCUCAGCCACAAGUAACUAUACCAAAUAAGUUCAAAUCAACAAAAAGCUAAUAAGAAAUCACAUAAUUACCUACGAUGUACUCUUGAAAGAUAAGAGGAGUAUAAAGUACCUACUACUUCCAAAACAGGGAACUGAAACAGUGGAAGGUAUUUGAAUAUUUCAGUGUAGUUUUUCAUCAGCAGUCAAACAUCAUCUACAUGGACAUGAGGCCAAAGUAAAAAGUUUCAUAAGAAUAUGCAUAUUAGUUAGUUCAAAUAAGGCAUUUCCUGUUAGCCCUCCUCUUGCACAAAAAUCAAGUUGACCAAAGUAGCAUCCAAAUGGAGGUGGUGCUUAAGUGCUUUUUUGCAUGUAGAGGGAUAUGAAGGGAAGUGUAGUCAUGUCCAGACUGGUGGCAAUAUGCUAAAUUUGUUGAAUGUCAAAACUGACAGCAUCUUCUGAGAAAACUAGAGCCUUACCACAGGGAUAAAGCUCCAGGGUCAUCUGUAUGGAGAACAAAGGAAGGAGCAUGGUCUGACAAAGAAUAAGCUGGCAAAGCUUUCAGGGAAUAAGCAAUGAUCACCUGCAUUUUAACAAACUGUCUAUCCACUCAUAAAAAAUCUCUCUCAUUUUUAUUUGGCUGAUUAACAGCAGUACAUCAAUAGCUCUAAGUCCAAAAUAUAAAAUGCAGAUCUAGCUCCUAUCUGAAUGUCCUAUCCAAUGCAAUAGCCAAGUGGGGAGACAAAAUUUCCACUGAAGCACGGGGGAUAGCAAGAAGAAAUGCACCUCUGCUUCACUACAUUACCAAUAGUGUGCCCCAUUGCCUAUAAAGAUUCCUGCUGUGGUUAAGUAUCUCUGGUUUUGAAACUCUUAUCAGAAACAAUCUUUUGAAAUCUGAAAAACAUGACAGAGAGUAAAAUUAAUUAUAUACACAUGUUAUUUUUUUCCCUCAAGGGUCUCUAACAGACAACAUUUUUGGAGCAGAAGAAAAAUGUUUUUGUUUCCAUGGCAACAAUAUCUACUCUUUUCCUUUCUGUCACAAAGCAUAGUUUCUCAGCAUAUUUAGGAAAAUUGAAGUGUGGGUAACUCAGAAUGAUAAAGCCAAGUGCAGUAAAUUUUCUUCUGAAUAAAUAUUUGUAUUUGGUCUUGUAUCCAUUGGCUCUGAAAAUUUUCAAGGUCAGGGUAUUUGUUUGCAGUGCUGAUGGUGUUCCCAUUAAACACUUACGGCUGUUCACAAUGAGAAGUCUUAUUUAGACGUGUCUCAAAUGUUGCUGAUGCUACCCUAAAAUAAUUGAAAUAAUUAAAACAGGAAGCAGCACCAUGUAGCAUCUUCCAGAAUGGCAAAGUAUGCAGCUGCAGCACAGCAGGGCUCAGGACUAACCGGUGUAUACAGAUACAAGAAUAAAUGAUGGAAGAGUCAGGUCAUUAAUUUAUAAGCUACAUGAGGGUCUCUCUCUUCUUCUGGGCAACGCUAAGUGGGCUGUCAAAGUUCAGCAACAGCCGGUUAACACAGAAAAGAGUUGAACUGAUCUGUUAGGGCUCUGCUUUCUUCUUUUCAGUUUCUUCUCAGCACAAACCUCUUGGCUAUAGAGUCGAUCUCUUUCUUGUCUGUUGGAGUUGUUUCUCUCUGAAUAAUUCUUCGCAUUCACCAGUACAGACUUUUGAGUCUUUGCUUCAGAAAUAUUUAUUUAUAGAAAACGAAAGGGUUUCAACAAAAGAAAUUGAGACCCAUGCUAGAAUAUACACUAUGGUAGUACUUGGCUGCAUAAAGCUGUAUGUAGUUGCUCAGCCUCAGCUUCAAAACAGAAUUCAAGUGUUUUUAUUGGACUCAUUCCAACCUGGAGCAAAAUAUGGUGUUUUUAUUGUUUUGAUGGAAAAAACCCUCUCAGUUAUCAAAUUUAAAAUAUUCCUUGCAGGAACUGCUGUUCACUGACAGAAAAUUCUCCAGUAGUUCUUUUUGUAACUUUGAUAAAGUGGCUUGAAUAGGCAGACUGUAAACUAUUGAAAGGGCUAAAACUUAGGCCACAAAAAAUAAUGCUUCUGAUUUUGUUGCCCUCUCCCUUGUGUAAUCAUUUAAGUUUGUGCCAAACUGGGAGCAGUUUGCACACCCCAGGUCCUCGCACUGCUGCAAAAGCAGCCUGCAUUUGGAGAACUCUCCCCUGGGGAUGCAGUUGAUGGAUUAGUUUGGACGUAGUUGUAAGGUGACAAAAAAAAUCCAUGUGGUUUUUACAACUGUAUCUGGCCCUGAAAGACUUGUGCUGAAGCAUGGCACUUCUGGAAGCAUCAUGGGUGCUGCAGUUAAGCUAGUUAGACAGAUAUGCAAUGGCAGGUAAUGGAAGAGACAGAGGUUUUUCUCUUUCUCAUUAGCCCUUUUCAUCUAAGUUUUUUUCUUUAUCUUACUUGUUGCUAUAUAAAAGACAUCUUAGUUAUCAACUCUGACACUGACUUCCAAUUAACCACCAUCUAAGAACAUUAUGGUGUCUACUCAGACAAUACAAAAGAUCAUCUAAGUUGAAAUAAGAAAACAAAAUUGUGCUGUUCCAGGUGGCUCCUCGCAUCAGCCAGCAUUUUUCUGUGCAGCUGUUUGAAUGCUAAGAGGGCUAAACUCUCUCUGAUGCUGGACACAAGGAAAAAUGCUGCAGUAUGUCCAUUCAUUUUAAUAGGGGCUGUGAACAUUUCUGCAUGCGUGGCUCCUGAUGUUGGAUUAUUAAUGUCUCUUUUGUAAUAAAACUAUUUCUAACAGUUGGCGGGAUUGGGGUCCUAGUUAGGGCUUGUCUUUAUUACUGCAAAAGCUGUGUUUUACCUCAGGGUACUGUGUAUUUCAGGUAGCCUGAGGUAAAAUUACAGUGAAGGAAAUGCACAAGAUAACUUUGCACAAGGGUACAGAUUUUGUUUCCACUGUGUUUUUAGCUUAGAAUAGCUGAUGCAUGCCAGUUACCCUGAGGUGAAAAGUAAGUUUUGCUAGCAGGAAGUUUGAGGUCUUAUUCCCAUUUGUUUUUCAGAACCUGAAAAAUGGUAGAAGUACUGCUUAUUGUGCUUGCUGCAAUUCUUUAUGUGUGCCUGUUUUGUAAUAUUUUGUGUUUAGUACUGAAAAUGAAUCAGUAAGAAAAAAAUACCAGGGGUACAACAUGAUGGAUGCAAAAACUUCACUGGUGAGCUGAGGCCCUGAAUGAAGAAUUACAAUUGGGUUUUAUCUCAAGGCAUAAAACCCCCUGAAAAAUGGGGGUUUGUAAUGGAAAGGCUAUUGCUGACACAACCUUAACUUGAACAUUGCCAACAGUCACACUAUCACUUUAUAUAGCAAUUUAAUGGCCAGCUUUUUGCCUUGCCAGUGGGAACACAGCCAGUUGAGGUGAUUGGGUUUGCACAUUAUAAAACAGCUCAUCCUUGGAAUGCACUGAUGUUAAAGCACUCGUUCUUCAUUAGCCAAAUUUAAAAUAAUGGUCUGAAAACAGAAGCAUGUGACUCACAUGUUCUAUUUGCACUUGUGCUGGAUUCAUAUAAGUCACCUCACCUUCUAAGUUUAAUGGACUUAAUGAACAGUUAAAGUGUUUUAGGCAGUCCAUAAUAGGUAACUGUGAUGGCAGUCAACAGCUGAAAUUGGCAUUUCGUACUUCUUAGUAACUCAUGUGCAGCAGAGUCUGGCCCACUGGAACAGCUUCCGUUUAUAGAUCAGGGACUGCUCCUCAGUUCAUUUUAUUUCACUGAUCCAGCUGAUCUAAACAACCUGUUUCCUUCUGAAAAGCAAUAAAUACAAUAAUAAUCAAAUUGCGCUUCUUUAGUCAUUGAUUUUUCUCCCCUGAACUAAAAUUGUCAGAAUCUGGAAUUUCAAGUCUGUAGGCAAUUUGGCUGUUUUCAAGAGCAUUUUUCCUUCCAUGUGAAGAAGAAAUAUUACUUUGGGACCGUCAGCUUGUUUUGUUUUUAUGAUAUGAAAUAUGUUGAUAUUAUACCACAUUGCGAAAUGAUUAAAAUGUAAAAAACACCCCAAUGAUUUACAUAAGUGUAUAACCAAUAUAAAAUAGAACAUAUAUAACAUAUCU